rnacentral:rRNA from 1 species
GAUGAACGCUGGCGGCGUGCCUAAUACAUGCAAGUCGAGCGAACGGACGAGAAGCUUGCUUCUCUGAUGUUAUCGGCGGACGGGUGAGUAACACGUGGAUAACCUACCUAUAAGACUGGGAUAACUUCGGGAAACCGGAGCUACUACCGGAUAAUAUUUUGAACCGCAUGGUUCAAAAGUGAAAGACGGUCUUGCGGUCACUUAUAGAUGGAUCCGCGCUGCAUUAGCUAGUUGGUAAGGUAACGGCUUACCAAGGCAACGAUGCAUAGCCGACCUGAGAGGGUGAUCGGCCACACUGGAACUGAGACACGGUCCAGACUCCUACGGGAGGCAGCAGUAGGGAAUCUUCCGCAAUGGGCGAAAGCCUGACGGAGCAACGCCGCGUGAGUGAUGAAGGUCUUCGGAUCGUAAAACUCUGUUAUUAGGGAAGAACAUAUGUGUAAGUAACUGUGCACAUCUUGACGGUACCUAAUCAGAAAGCCACGGCUAACUACGUG